rnacentral:rRNA from 1 species
GUUGAACGCUGGCGGCGUGCCUUAUACAUGCAAGUCGAGCGACCACACGGGUGGCUUGCUCCUCUGACGUUUGCCGCGCACGUGUGUGUUACACCUGAAUAUCUUCUCUAUUAGGCUGUAGUCCCUUCGAGAACCCGUUGCUACUGCCUACUAAUUUCUUAUACAGCCUGGUUCCCUUGUGACAUCCCGUUUUGCUGUUACUUAUUGAUUGAUUCGCUCCUGAUUAGCUAGUUGGUCAGGUAAAGGCUUACCAAGGCGACGAUGAGUAGCCGACCUGAGAGGGUGACCAGACACACUGGGACUGAGACACGGUCCAGACUCCUACGGGAGGCAGCAGUAGGGAAUCUUCGGCAAUGGGCGAAAGCCUGACGGAGCAACGCCGCGUGAGUGAAGAAGGUCUUCGGAUUGUAAAACACUGUUAUUAGGGAAGAAAACAUGGGCAAGAAAACAGGCAGGGGAUGACGGUACCGAAAGAGAAAGCAACGGCUAACUACGUG